GGUGAACGCUGGCGGCGUGCCUAAUACAUGCAAGUCGAGCGAACAGACGAGGAGCUUGCUCCUCUGACGUUAGCGGCGGACGGGUGAGUAACACGUGAAUAACCUACCUAUAAGACUGGGAUAACUUCGGGAAACCGGAGCUAAUACCGGAUAAUAUAUUGAACCGCAUGGUUCAAUAGUGAAAGACGGUUUUGCUGUCACUUAUAGAUGGAUCCGCGCCGCAUUAGCUAGUUGGUAAGGUAACGGCUUACCAAGGCGACGAUGCGUAGCCGACCUGAGAGGGUGAUCGGCCACACUGGAACUGAGACACGGUCCAGACUCCUACGGGAGGCAGCAGUAGGGAAUCUUCCGCAAUGGGCGAAAGCCUGACGGAGCAACGCCGCGUGAGUGAUGAAGGUCUUCGGAUCGUAAAACUCUGUUAUUAGGGAAGAACAAAUGUGUAAGUAACUAUGCACGUCUUGACGGUACCUAAUCAGAAAGCCACGGCUAACUACGUG
rnacentral:rRNA from 1 species